rnacentral:rRNA from 1 species
UACAGAGGGUGCAAGCGUUGUUCGGAAUUACUGGGCGUAAAGCGCGUGUAGGCGGCGUCGUUAGUCGGAUGUGAAAGCCCUCGGCUCAACCGAGGAAGUGCAUCCGAUACUGCGAUGCUUGAGUGUUGGAGGGGGUGGCGGAAUUCCCGGUGUAGAGGUGAAAUUCGUGAGAUAUCGGGAGGAACACCAGUGGCGAAGGCGGUUGCCUGGGGCUUUGCUGACGCUGAUGCGCGAAAGGCGUGGGGACGAUCCGG